CUUAAGGUGGAGUAGAUGGCGGAUCGGGUGAGAGGCGCCAAGAUGAACUGGACCAGGAAAAAAAGAAUUGGCAUCAAGAUUGAAGGGGCGAUAUGGAAACGCAUGGAGGUCAUUCUGAAGGAAAUCAGAGAGCUCGGAAGGAUGAGGAAAAGGAAGAAUUCCACACCAAGAAUAAAGCGCCACACAGAUAAGUUGUUUGUUCAUCUGUUUGCAGGGCGGAUGUAAAGAGUAAACAGGAGGGAGCAGAGUACGGAGCUUUGAGGUUUGCCUUGGUUGACUGUUGCUACGGAAGGUAGUUUGGCGGUAGGUCUGAUUGUCAUGACGGCAGGCAGGGAAAGCGUCGGGAGAGUUGAUAGUCGGACGUGGCGGUUUGGUUCAGUGGUGUUUGCGAAGGAAGGAAGGUCGAGACGGUCCGCAGGUUGUUUGGCUUGUCUCGGUCCCGAGCAGCUCUUUGUUUUGAGUUGACGUUUCCAGACUGAAAGUGGAAAUGCUGUGCCGGUUCAAGAGCCUAGCAACCAGUAUGUCUCGGUUACGUUGUUUGUCUACUUCCUCACUAACUCGCUGGGUGUGCAUACAAUAACACGGACUUGUGAUUAUUUUUGUGUCUGGAGCUGAGCUGAAUGUGCUUGUUGUAAGCUUUUCACUGGUACAGCUUAGUGGCUUGUCGGUUGAAUGCAGCUACAGUUUUGUUUGUGUUUGGCAAGGUGUGAUUUGUCACGAUGCUGCGCAGGCAUGCAAAGUUUUCAUCGGUCUGAAGUUCAAAUGUCUUCCAAUUCUGGAAUGACAGGUUAGUUUUUUUGCGAUUGCAGGUUGGAGGAGGAUGAGACGUUUGGGUGAGGAGGCAAGAAAGAGAACCAGGAGGAGAAUGGAAGAGGAGCUGGAUGAAAGAGAAGAGCUCGGAAGUACGUGGAAUGGGAUGAGGAAAAGGAUUGUUCCUUGUUCCACACCGAGAAUAAAGCAGCACACAGAUGUUUGUUCAUCGAUUUGCAGGGCGGAUGGUGAAGACCAACAAUUGGACAUAACCGGCAUGCAGUUCCAAGAUGAACAGCGUCUUCUCCCUUGAGGCA